rnacentral:rRNA from 1 species
GUGCCAGCAGCCGCGGUAAUAGGGGCAGCUCGAGUGAUAGCCACUAAAAUUGGGCCUAAAGCGUCCGUAGCCGGCCGAACAGGUCCGUCGGGAAAUCCACCCGCUCAUCGGCUGGACGUCCGGCGGAAACCAGUCGGCUUGGGGCCGGGAGACCAGAGAGGUACGUCCGGGGUAGGAGUGAAAUCCUGUAGUCCUGGACGGACCGCCGGUAGCGAAAGCGUCUCUGGAGAACGGACCCGACGGUGAGGGACGAAAGCUUGGGUCUCGAACCGGAUUAGAAACCCGCGUAGUCC